UACGGAGGGUGCGAGCGUUGUCCGGAAUCAUUGGGCGUAAAGGGCGCGUAGGCGGCCGUCCCAAGCGUGCGGUGAAAGUCAGGGGGCUCAACCCCUGAUCGGCCGUGCGAACUGGGGGGCUCGAGCACUGUAGGGGCAGAUGGAAUUCCGGAUGUAGCGGUGGAAUGCGUAGAGAUCCGGAAGAACACCGGUGGCGAAGGCGGUCUGCUGGGCAGUUGCUGGACACUUGGAGGCGCGACAGCGUGGGGAGCAAACAGG
rnacentral:rRNA from 1 species